AUUGAACGCUGGCGGCAGGCCUAACACAUGCAAGUCGAGCGGAGCGGCGGACGGGUGCGUAAUGCCUAGGAAUCUGCCUGGUGGUGGGGGAGAACGUCAGGAAACGGGCACUAAUACCGCAUACUAUCAGAUGAGCCUAGGUCGGAUUAGAUAGUUGGUGGGGUAAAGGCCUACCAAGGCGACGAUCCGUAACUGGUCUGAGAGGGAGAUCAGUCACACUGGAACUGAGACACGGUCCAGACUCCUACGGGCGGCAGCAGUGGGGAAUAUUGGACAAUGGGCGAAAGCCUGAUCCAGCCAUGCCGCGUGUGUGAAGAAGGUCUUCGGAUUGUAAAGCACUUUAAGUUGGGAGGCGUUACCAACAGAAUAAGCACCGGCUAACUUCGUGCCAGCAGCCGCGGUAAUUC
rnacentral:rRNA from 1 species